CCCGCCUCCGGGGCAACGCUGCCCAUUGGACAACCCGCCCCUGAGGCUAGUGGCCCCGGGGUUGCCAGGGGAUCCCGUACCUGAGCAACCGCCCGGGCGCGUGGCUGAGGCUUCCCAGAUGCCCCGAGAGGCACGAAAUGAAUGGUGUGAUUGAGGAGGCCAAGCACUGGGGCAAAGGGAAGCCGCUGCUGGCCCCUCUGUGAGCUAAAGGAAGUGGCAAGAAUCUUAAGUGGAGACCAGUUUUGCCCCAAGCACAAAGUAGACAGAAGUACAAAAACUUCCUGUUUGCAGCUCCUGAGAACGUGUUCCAGUGAUGGAACCUCAAAGGAAUUUGUGCAUUCCUCUCCCACAAGUGUCCAGGGCAAAAGUGCUGGGAGAAUGAGUUCACAGAAGAAGCAAGAAUGGCAGAGCUCUGUGAGAUGAGCCAGUGUUCAAGAGAAAGAAAAAUAACUAAGUGAGCCAACACACUAGUUUUCCUCCAUAUAAAAAAGUUUGGGUAAAAGAGCUACUCAGAACUAUAAGCCACACGUGUAACUUUCCCAAGACACACACUGGGCAAGCUUACACAGAGACUAUAACCUGUCCCAGUUGGUAUGUCCAAAGCCUAGUCUCCUUACUUCCUGCCAGGAGUUCCAGGUCUGUCAGAGGACUCCAUUACUGAAGUUCACCUGGAUGAGAGGAAGGGAACGGUUUCCCAGUUAGGACAAAGUCCAGUCUCCAGAGGGACUGUGAUCUGUGUGUGCAUCCACACACCAACAUUUUGAUUUGACUGAAAGGGUACAGGUGGGCAGGGCGACGCAGAAGACUCCCAACUUUACAUGAUGAGACAGUGGAGCAGCAGCCAGCCAGUUUGAAGUUUGGGCAUGUUUGGGAUGCAGCCCUGAUUGUGUAUAAAAGAAACGCAUCUUGCCAUACAUGGUGACUUGCACUGAGGGGGCAAAGAAGGAUUGAUGGAAGUUCAUGGCUAGUCUGGACAACAUAGCAAGA
rnacentral:lncRNA from 1 species